rnacentral:rRNA from 1 species
CCUACGGGCGGCAGCAGUGAGGAAUAUUGGUCAAUGGGCGCGAGCCUGAACCAGCCAAGUCGCGUGAGGGAUGACGGUCCUACGGAUUGUAAACCUCUUUUGUCGGGGAGCAAGCGUGCGUUCGUGAACGCGCUUCCAGAGUACCCGUAGAAAAAGCAUCGGCUAACACCUUGCCACCAGCCGCGGUAAUACGGAGGUUGCGAGCGUUACCCGGAUUUAUUGGGUUAAAGGGGUGCGUAGGCGGGAUGUCAAGGCAGCGGUAAAAUUGGGGUGCUAAACACCGUCGAGCCGUUGAAACUGGCGUUCUUGAGUGGGCGGGAGGUAUGCGGAAUGCGUGGUGUAGCGGUGAAAUGCAUAGAUAUCACGAAGAACUCCGAUUGCGAAGGCAGCAUACCGGAGCCCUACUGACGCUGAGGCACGAAAGCGUGGGUAUCGAACAGGAUUAGAUACCCUAGUAGUC